rnacentral:rRNA from 1 species
GACACAGGUGCUGCAUUGGCUGCCGUCAGCUCGUGUCGUGAGAUGUUGGGUUAAGUCCGUAACGAGCGCAACCCUGUCCUUAGUUACCAGCACGUUAUGGUGGGCACUCUAAGGAGACUGCCGGUGACAAACCGGAGGAAGGUGGGGAUGACGUCAAGUCAUCAUGGCCCUUACGGCCUGGGCUACACACGUGCUACAAUGGUCGGUACAAAGGGUUGCCAAGCCGCGAGGUGGAGCUAAUCCCAUAAAACCGAUCGUAGUCCGGAUCGCAGUCUGCAACUCGACUGCGUGAAGUCGGAAUCGCUAGUAAUCGUGAAUCAGAAUGUCACGGUGAAUACGUUCCCGGGCCUU